rnacentral:rRNA from 1 species
GAGUUUGAUCGUGGCUCAGAUUGAACGCUGGCGGCAUGCCUUACACAUGCAAGUCGAACGGCAGCAUGAUCUAGCUUGCUAGAUUGAUGGCGAGUGGCGAACGGGUGAGUAAUACAUCGGAACGUGCCCUGUAGUGGGGGAUAACUAGUCGAAAGAUUAGCUAAUACCGCAUACGACCUGAGGGUGAAAGUGGGGGACCGCAAGGCCUCAUGCUAUAGGAGCGGCCGAUGUCUGAUUAGCUAGUUGGUGGGGUAAAGGCCCACCAAGGCGACGAUCAGUAGCUGGUCUGAGAGGACGAUCAGCCACACUGGGACUGAGACACGGCCCAGACUCCUACGGGAGGCAGCAGUGGGGAAUUUUGGACAGUGGGCGAAAGCCUGAUCCAGCAAUGCCGCGUGUGUGAAGAAGGCCUCGG